CUGGCUGCCCCCGCAACCCUCCUUCCUCCUCCUCAACACAAGAGUUUUUAGUUGUCAUAUCCUAUUCUCUCUCCCUAAGAAGCUGAAUCCUAUCCCUCAACCUGUCAUGCCUUUAUCACUGGGGACCUGCUUCAAUGAGGAUGAUCUUUAACCAGAAAUCAAGAUAGUCCAUCACCUAAUCGCAGUGGGAAACCAAAAGCCACAAAUAAACUGGUCACUGCAUUUACCUGUUGUUAUAAAAGACUGUGCCAGCUUUUAGAACUCCAGUUAUGUUUUCACAGCCAUGCAGCUCUGGAAACACUACGCAGCACUUUAUGAGAUGACUUCUUCUCUUUCAAGUGUCAUGAAUUCCAAGACAAGGAGUGGGACUGAAGGCCUGGACAGCAGUGGAGGCAUACUACCAAGGCUGCCGUUCGCUCAUGACCUGGGAGCUGCCAGUCAGUAUCACAGGGACUGACUCUACCUGAAGUGACCUCCCAUGAUAUCCUUUCCACCCUCCUCCUCAAAGUCCAGUUGUGGGUUUACGGAGUAAAAGCAAACAGAUACCAGGUUGAAACCAUCCAGUGUUUCCACCAGACUGAAAAUAAGUCUGCCUGCUACAGGGUACCAAAUCUAAGAUAGUCCAUCUAUAAAUCCAUUUCAUGCUGAAUUGCUUAAUUAUGAAUUCUUAGAAACUAGCAUGCAAAUGAUUAAAUAGUCUACCUCCAGGGUUUUUAAGCAACUUACUUUUAAAUGAAUAUUAAAACGCUGACUAGUUAC